UUAAGCAUAUCAAUAAGCGGAGGAAAAGAAACCAACAGGGAUUGCCCUAGUAACGGCGAGUGAAGCGGCAACAGCUCAAAUUUGAAAUCUGGCACUUGUGCCCGAGUUGUAAUUUGUAGAGGAUGCUUUUGGCGACGCGCCUUCCGAGUUCCCUGGAACGGGACGCCAUAGAGGGUGAGAGCCCCGUCCGGUCGUGCGCCUAGCCUCUGUAAAGCUCCUUCGACGAGUCGAGUAGUUUGGGAAUGCUGCUCUAAAUGGGAGGUAUACGUCUUCUAAAGCUAAAUACCGGCCAGAGACCGAUAGCGCACAAGUAGAGUGAUCGAAAGAUGAAAAGCACUUUGAAAAGAGGGUUAAAUAGUACGUGAAAUUGCUGAAAGGGAAGCGCUUAUGACCAGACUUGGGCGCGGCGGAUCAUCCGGCGUUCUCGCCGGUGCACUCCACCGCCCCAGGCCAGCAUCAGUUCGCGCCGGGGGACAAAGGCUUCGGGAAUGUGGCUCCCUCGGGAGUGUUAUAGCCCGUUGCGUAAUACCCUGGUGCGGACUGAGGUCCGCGCUCUGCAAGGAUGCUGGCGUAAUGGUCAUCAGUGACCCGUCUUGAAACACGGACCAAGGAGUCGUCUUCGUAUGCGAGUGUUCGGGUGUCAAACCCCUACGCGGAAUGAAAGUGAACGUAGGAGAGAGCUUCGGCGCAUCUCCGACCGAUCCUGAUGUUCUCGGAUGGAUUUGAGUAAGAGCAUACGGGGCCGGACCCGAAAGAAGGUGAACUAUGCCUGUGUAGGGUGAAGCCAGAGGAAACUCUGGUGGAGGCUCGCAGCGGUUCUGACGUGCAAAUCGAUCGUCAAACAUGGGCAUGGGGGCGAAAGACUAAUCGAACCUUCUAGUAGCUGGUUUCCGCCGAAGUUUCCCUCAGGAUAGCAGUGUUGAACUCAGUUUUAUGAGGUAAAGCGAAUGAUUAGGGACCCGGGGGCGCUAUAUUGCCUUCAUCCAUUCUCAAACUUUAAAUAUGUAAGAAGCUCUUGUUGCUUAGUUGAACGUGAGCAUUCGAAUGUAUCAACACUAGUGGGCCAUUUUUGGUAAGCAGAACUGGCGAUGCGGGAUGA
rnacentral:rRNA from 1 species